UACGAAGGGGGCUAGCGUUGCUUGGAAUCACUGGGCGUAAAGCGCACGUAGGCGGGUCCUUAAGUCAGGGGUGAAAUCCCGGAGCUCAACUCCGGAACUGCCUUUGAUACUGGGGAUCUUGAGUCCGGAAGAGGUGAGUGGAACUCCGAGUGUAGAGGUGAAAUUCGUAGAUAUUCGGAAGAACACCAGUGGCGAAGGCGGCUCACUGGUCCGGUACUGACGCUGAGGUGCGAAAGCGUGGGGAGCAAACAGG
rnacentral:rRNA from 1 species